rnacentral:rRNA from 1 species
AUACGUAGGUGGCAAGCGUUGUCCGGAAUCAUUGGGCGUAAAGCGCGCGCAGGCGGUCCUUUAAGUCUGAUGUGAAAUCUUGCGGCUUAACCGCAAGCGGUCAUUGGAAACUGGAGGACUUGAGUGCAGAAGAGGAAAGCGGAAUUCCAUGUGUAGCGGUGAAAUGCGUAGAGAUAUGGAGGAACACCAGUGGCGAAGGCGGCUUUCUGGUCUGCAACUGACGCUGAGGCGCGAAAGCGUGGGGAGCAAACAGGAUUAGAUACCCUGGUAGUCCACGCCGUAAACGAUGAGUGCUAGGUGUUGGAGGGUUUCCGCCCUUCAGUGCUGCAGCUAACGCAUUAAGCACUCCGCCUGGGGAGUACGGCCGCAAGGCUGAA